CAGUAGCCGCGGUAAUACGUAGGUCCCGAGCGUUGUCCGGAUUUAUUGGGCGUAAAGCGAGCGCAGGCGGUUAGAUAAGUCUGAAGUUAAAGGCUGUGGCUUAACCAUAGUACGCUUUGGAAACUGUUUAACUUGAGUGCAAGAGGGGAGAGUGGAAUUCCAUGUGUAGCAGUGAAAUGCGUAGAUAUAUGGAGGAACACCGGUGGCGAAAGCGGCUCUCUGGCUUGUAACUGACGCUGAGGCUCGAAAGCGUGGGGAGCAAACAGGAUUAGAUACCCCAGUAGUCCCUGUCUCUUAUACA
rnacentral:rRNA from 1 species